UUGGAGUAAAUAUGUAUUCACAAUUUACUGAACAUAAGGUCAAAAUUCAUAUUUCAACAGUACGAAAGAGAGCCAGCACAGCCAGGUCACAAACCACACAGGCAAGUGAUGCGGAUGCUGGCGAUGCAGGAACUUCAUCAUCGCACCGCACUCCACUAAGACAACAUUCGUAGGGGCCUGGCAGUCUCCAGAAGAUGGGUAGUAAGAGACGCCGUCUUGAGGCCGUACCUACACCCGCAUCCUCACCACCACAAUUGCGCAUCUCAACUGUGUUGCCUCAGCCACCCGAUGCCAUUUUGGCCAGUCCACAAACCGAUGAGCCUCAAUCCCCUCAGCUGUCUGAUCCAGACAUCAUGCCCCAGUAUACCCAGCAGGAAACUGACUUGCAGCAAACUUACACACUACACCUGCAAGCAGUUGAUCCUAACCAGCCACCCACGCCGGCUGACAUUACUCCCCCACCCAACAAGUGAGCCCAACACCACCCCAGCCACAAAUGGGACAAGACCUUUGGUCCAGUUGGACCACACAACAGGCCCAACAUUAUGCCUGUCUGCAAAACCACAGCCAAUACCUUGCUAGUCUGCCACAUUAUCUACCGAGACUGAGUAGAAACUCAGGCAGACUGAUUGUUCAACCUGGCAGAGUGGCCAAUAGCAUGGAACAAAUGAGAGCAGACAACAGCCAAAUGAUAGGAAGCUUUCAACGCAUCAUGGAUGAACAAAACCGCCAACAACAAGCCCUCAUACAACUAAUCCAGAACAAUCAGAUGAUCACAGAAAGUAUGUCCAGAAUAGAUGCCAACAACACAGCCGCAACACCACAACUGACAGCAAGCAUCAACAACUUGAGCCAAAACAUCAAUUUGUUGGCAGCCCAGCAACAAGACUCAAGCUUAGGGACAACCACACCUAGCCAGACCCCAAUUUCCUCCCCAGUUAGGCGAUCAAGCAGAACAUGCAGGGCCGUCUUUUCGUAUGGGCUCAAUGGGCUCUUGCCCAAGGGCCCCAGGAGUAAAAGGGUCCUAGGCUAAUAGCUGAGGGUCCCCUCUUUCCAGGGGUACCAGAUUUUUGAAAAUCGGCCCUGGGGAACCGGAGAUAUCAGACUUUAAAGCAGUAGUCCCCAUCCAAGUCUGUUAAUUGUUCUUCCCAGCUAGAUAUCUAGGGUUUUGUCUGACUUAGAGUUUUUCUGAGGGUAUACUCCAAAAGCUGUGACUCCCCCCUUUCAGUGGACAUUGGCAGCUUGUCUCUACUAUGUCCAGAACCAGAGAUAUCAGCCUUCAAGCAGCUGGUCCCUGCUACAGCUCCACAUGCCUAAUAUGCAGUUUUAUAUUUUUGUCGGUGGGUUGCUCUGGCUACUGAAGUCUGAUCCCCAAGUCCCCAGCACCUCCUGAAAGGUGGGACUCUCUAGUUUUUUUAUCCCAGUUAAGCUAAGAAAUCUAUUUCCAGGAACUGGAGAUAUCUGCAGUAAAGCAAGCUGCCCUGAUCCCCGGAAAAUGAUGAAUAUUAAGCCCACUCCACUAUCCACCCCUCCCCUGUGUAUCAAACACCCCCUAUCACCCUAGAAGUCAUGUAUCAAGGCCCCUUCAUUCAGCCCAAUGUCCCCUUCUACAAUUUAGCAUUCUCCUUCCCGCACCAUUUGUGAAGUAAAGGAGUAAUUAGCAGAAAUUAUUUCUCCAGGUCCUACAUGCUGAACGAAAGAUAGAACCCCCCUAUCCCCCGCGGGACAUCAAAGCUGCCACUGAUAACACCCCCCACCCCUACCGCUGAUGCGUGGGUAGGGGCCCCAGUGCAUUGCUGUGCCCAGGGGCCUACACUGCUGUUAAGACGGCUCUGAGAACAUGGCCCAAUGUGCCAACAGCAUCCUCUGCAGCCACCAAAAAAAGCACACGAAAAUGAGCAAGCAAAAAAACAAAUAAUAAAGUAU